rnacentral:rRNA from 1 species
GGGACGAACGCUGGCGGCGUGCUUAACACAUGCAAGUCGAGCGGAAAGGCCCUUCGGGGUACUCGAGCGGCGAACGGGUGAGUAACACGUGAGUAACCUGCCCUAGGCUUUGGGAUAACCCUCGGAAACGGGGCUAAUACUGGAUAUUCCCGCGGGAUCGCAUUGGUUUUGUGGGGAAAGGUUUUUCCGGCUUGGGAUGGGCUCGCGGCCUAUCAGCUUGUGGUGGGUGAUGGCCUACCAAGGCGACGACGGUAGCC